rnacentral:rRNA from 1 species
GACGAACGCUGGCGGCGUGCUUAACACAUGCAAGUCGAACGGAAAGGCCCUGCUUUUGUGGGGUGCUCGAGUAGCGAACGGGUGAGUAACACGUGAGUAACCUGCCCUUGACUUUGGGAUAACUUCAGGAAACUGGGGCUAAUACCGGAUAGGAGCUCCUGCUGCAUGGUGGGGGUUGGAAAGUUUCGGCGGUUGGGGAUGGACUCGCGGCUUAUCAGCUUGUUGGUGGGGUAGUGGCUUACCAAGGCUUUGACGGGUAGCCGGCCUGAGAGGGUGACCGGCCACAUUGGGACUGAGAUUCGGCCCAGACUCCUACGGGAGGCAGCAGUGGGGAAUAUUGCACAAUGGGCGGAAGCCUGAUGCAGCAACGCCGCGUGCGGGAUGACGGCCUUCGGGUUGUAAACCGCUUUCGCCUGUGACGAAGCGUGAGUGACGGUAAUGGGUAAAGAAGCACCGGCUAACUACGUG